GACGAACGCUGGCGGCGUGCUUAACACAUGCAAGUCGAACGAGUGGCGAACGGGUGAGUAACACGUGGGUGAUCUGCCUUGCACUUCGGGAUAAGCUUGGGAAACUGGUUAUAAUACCGGAUAUUGCAAGAUGAGCUCGCGGCCUAUCAGCUUGUUGGUGGGGUAAUGGCUACCAAGGCGAGACGGGUAGCCGGCCUGAGAGGGUGUACGGCCCCAUUGGGACUGGGAGACGGCCCAGAAUCCUACGGGAGGCAGCGGUGGGGAAUAUUGCACAAUGGGCGGAAGCCUGAUGCAGCGACGCCGGGUGGGUGAUGAAGGCCUUCGGGGUGUAAACUUCUUUCGACAGGGACGCGGUACCUGUAUAAGAAGCACCGGCUAACUACGUGCCAGCCGCCGCGGUAAUAC
rnacentral:rRNA from 1 species